AGCAGUAGCCGCGGUAAUACGGAGGGUGCAAGCGUUAAUCGGAAUUACUGGGCGUAAAGCGCACGCAGGCGGUUUGUUAAGUCAGAUGUGAAAUCCCCGAGCUUAACUUGGGAACUGCAUUUGAAACUGGCAAGCUAGAGUCUUGUAGAGGGGGGUAGAAUUCCAGGUGUAGCGGUGAAAUGCGUAGAGAUCUGGAGGAAUACCGGUGGCGAAGGCGGCCCCCUGGACGAAGACUGACGCUCAGGUACGAAAGCGUGGGGAGCAAACAGGAUUAGAUACCCGAGUAGUCCCUGUCUCUUAUAC
rnacentral:rRNA from 1 species